rnacentral:rRNA from 1 species
AGAGUUUGAUCCUGGCUCAGGAUGAACGCUGGCGGCGUGCCUAACACAUGCAAGUCGAACGAAGCACUUUCCUGAUCCCCUUCGGGGGUGAAGGAGAAGUGACUUAGUGGCGGACGGGUGAGUAACGCGUGGGUAACCUGCCUCAUACAGGGGGAUAACAGCUGGAAACAGCCGACUAACACCGCAUAAGCACACAGCACCGCAUGGUGCAGGGUGAAAAUAUUUAUAAGUAUGAGAUGGACCCGCGUCUGAUUAGCUAGUUGGUAGGGUAAAGGCCUACCAAGGCGACGAUCAGUAGCCGGCUUGAGAGAGUGACCGGCCACAUUGGGACUGAGACACGGCCCAAACUCCUACGGGAGGCAGCAGUGGGGAAUAUUGCACAAUGGGGGAAACCCUGAAUGCAGCGACGCCGCGUGAGUGAAGAAGUAUUUCGGUAUGUAAAGCUCUAUCAGCAGGGAAGAAAAUGACGGUACCUGACUAAGAACGCCCCGGCUAACUACGUGCCAGCCGCCGC